rnacentral:lncRNA from 1 species
GUUGUCUUUUGUUUCCCUAAAAUGUAUAAAACCAAGCUGUAGCCAGACCACCUAAGGCACACGUUCUCAGGACCUCCUGAGGCUGUGUCAUGAGCCUGUCUUUAACCUUGGCAAAAUAAGCUUCUAACUGAUUGAGACCUGUCUCAGAUACUUUUUGGUCUACAUUAUAAAUAAAACCAAACAACUGUAAAAUGGAGUCUAUCUUCUGGCCUUGACAAAUGUACCUUCAUAGAGAUCUGUGAGGCCAAGUUCAAAUGUAGACUUCUUGGACUCCUUGGAGUUCCAUGUGGUCCUGUGAGAAGAGACAGCAAUGCCCCAACCUGCCUUUGUAGGUGUGUGCUGAUCUGGGCACACAUCCUAGAAGGUUUGGUUUAAAAUAUAAUGAUAUAUUUUACCAAGUCUUGUGAACCAUCAGGCCUCCCUCAGGCCCGGACUGGGAAUUGCCAAUUUCGUUAGGUGUGACAGUAAUACUAUGAGAAUGUUUAAAAAAAUAGGCCUUACUAAUUAAACAUACUCGAGUAUUUAAAGGAGAAUUUAUCUACUGGGAUGCUUUAAAAUUACUCUGGGAAAAAAGGGAAAACGAAAGGCAUGUGUGGGGUGAAGCACAGACUUGCCGUUGUUGUUUUUCAAGCAAAAGGCGGGUCCCAAGGGAAGUUGGCUGUCGGUGGGUUCCCGUUCUCCGUACCUUUCUACCUUGACAGCUCCAUAAUAAAACCUGCAGCCGCAUGGGCGCCUCUCCCGUAGCGCUCCCGCGGGGGCGCCAGUGGGGCCCCAGCUGCGAGGAGGGCCCGGGCUCGCGAGCCUCGGUCCCCCACUUUCGUCCCCGCGAUCCCCGGCUCCCAGCCCCCCGGGCCCCCGGCGGGGCUCUGCGCCGCCGGAGCUUGGGCGUCUGCUGCUGUCCCGGAGCGCCAAAUCGUCCGAGGGCCGGGUACAGAUAUCUCUUCAAUAUCCUGGUUUCCUUUCUUUUGGAUAUGUACCCAUUAGUGGGAUUGCCGGAUCAUAUGCUGAUCAUGUGUGUGUGUGUGUGUGUGUGUGUGUGUGUGUGUGUGUGUGUGUUUCCCUUACCUUAAGGAGUUUAAAUCCCUGAUUUAGGUUCAAAUUUUUUUCCGGCUGUCCACUUCCCUGGUUGCUCAGGACAUCCAAGCCCUGCCUUUCUGGCAGAGGGAGCUGGGAAAAGUUAACCACCUCUCUUUGUUCCUGUCCAUAAGCCUUGGGCGUCUGGGUGCCUGUAGCAUUGCUCAGGUCACCGCUGGCCUUGGCAAGAACAGUUUGCAUCAGGAGAAGAGGAGGGGAGGUGAGAACACACUGUGGGCAUGAUUCUUUGUAUAGUUUUGCCAUGAAGAGGAGGAGGGGAAUGAAGUGAGAGAUAGCUUGAGGUCAAGGCUGGGUUUAUAGAGGCAGAUCCUAGAGCAAGUUUCUGUUCUCAUCAGAUGAUCCCACAGAGGUGGAGGGGAGAAACUGAGGAGGCAGGAGAGGGGGGUUCCUUGUAGGUGCGACCCCUUGAGAGAACCCUGGUAGGGUCCCAGACCUAGGGGAGACACUGGCCUUUCUGGUGCUCUUUUAAUCCUCUGUUUCCUCUUCUGCGUAAAGUGAUCGAUAAUAGUCUAGCCUUCCCACAGUCCCGUAAGGAUUAAAGAAGGUAAAGGCAUACUGCAUAGGUCAUCGGUAGCUGUGUCUGUUAUUUUUUGAAAAGAUUAGGGAUCUGGCAUUGCAGGGACCCCAUGAUCCCCACCCUGUUCUGCCAAGCAUCCUUCCUCCUCAUGGUUCUGGGGCUUCCACCCAGAGAAGCGGAGUGGGUCCUGGAGAGCCGGCAGAUAGCUCAGCUCUGUGUGGUACGGGUUCCUCCCAGUGUGGGCAGGGUCCAAGUCCUCCUCCUCUCCUUUCUUCUCCACUAGCUGUCUCUCCAUGAUCUCCAGGCUUCCAAUGUGAGCCUGGCUCAGUUUUACCAGCAUUGCUACAGAGGAUGUGAUAGGAAUUUAAAGAAAAUGGCUGGUCUGGCCUGAGGGG